rnacentral:lncRNA from 1 species
UCCUCUCACUGUCAACUGCGUUUAUUUUCAGCAAACUUAACGUGCAAAUAUUUUUAUGAACAUAAGAUUCAACAACUGAGACAUAAACUGAACAAGUUUCACAGACAUGUGACUAACAGAAAUUGAAUAAUGUGUCCCUGAACAAAGGGGGGGUCAAAACCAAAAGUAACAGUCAGUAUCUGGUGUGGCCACCAGCUGCAUUAAGUACUGCAGUGCAUCUCCUCCUCGUGGACUGCACCAGAUUUGCCAGUUAUUGCUGUGAGAUGUUACCCCACUCUUCCACCAAGGCACCUGCAAGUUCCCGGACAUUUCUGGGGGGAAUGGCUCUAGCCUUGACCCUCUGAUCCAACAGGUCCCAGACAUGCUCAAUGGGAUUGAGAUAUUGGCUCUUCGCUGGCCAUGGCAGAACACUGACAUUCCUGUCUUGCAGGAAAUCACGCACAGAACGAGCAGUAUGGCUGGUGGCAUUGACAUACUGGAGGGUCAUGUCAGGAUGAGCCUGCAGGAAGGGUACCACAUGAGGGAGGAGGAAGUCGUGUUGAGAUUGCCUGCAAUGACAACAAGCUCAGUCCGAUGAUGCUGUGACACAAAUCAAAUCAAAUUUAUUUUUAUAUAGCCCUUCGUACAUCAGCUGAUAUCUCAAAGUGCUGUACAGAAACCCAGCCUAAAACCCCAAACAGCAAGCAAAGCAUGUGAAAGAAGCACGGUGGCUAGGAAAAACUCCCUAGGAAAAACUCCCUAGAAAGGCCAAAAACCUAGGAAGAAACCUAGAGAGGAACGAGGGGGGUGGCCAGUCCUCUUCUGGCUGUGCAGGGUGGAUAUUAUAACAGAACAUGGUCAAGAUGGUGCAACAAGCACGUCCGGUGAACAGGUCAGGGUUCCAUAGCCGCAGGCAGAACAGUUGAAACUGGAGCAGCAGCACGGCCAGGUGGACUGGGGACAGCAAGGAGUCAUCAUACCAGGUAGUCCUGAGGCAUGGUCCUAGGGCUCAGGUCCUCCGA